ensembl:lncRNA
GAAGGAGCACCUGUGACCACAUAUAGUUUUUAUAUUUUAUUUUGUAAUUACGGGAUUGUUUUUAAUAUGCUUGUACACCAAUUUGGUAGUGAUGAUGAUCAGUACUAGAAAUUGCAUGGCUUUGCAGCUGAAAUGCUCAUAAGCUUUUUUUAAUUUAUUUUUUCCAACAGUGUAUCUGUGUUCAGACGUGUGAUCUAAACCCAUGUGCUACAGGGCUCCACAUUGUAAAGAACAGACAGGUUAUUCGGUUGUCGGUUGGAACCCAGGCAGGCUUCUCCCUGCCUGGACUAUGGCUUCUGACGAAUCGGUCUCCAUAGCUAAAUUCAAGUGCGCUUGGUCAGAGGUCCCCCAGGUUCCCUAGUCGCGAUAUAGACGAUAUCUGGAUUGCUGUGAAACAGAUAAAACAAGUUUUUAUUGAAAAUGCAGGUUUUUUUGUUUUGUUUUCUUUACACAAAUUUAAUGAAAUGCAAAUCCUAAAAGAGCACAAAUCCAAACGAUUUUGGAUCCUAAAUCUGCUAUCGGGGAAAAAAAACCGACCAUCGUCAGACACGAGUCAAAGUGCCUGCCGACCCGAAUCACCUGAAAUAUAUAUUUAUCUACAUUUAUGUAACGCCCUGUCCACCUGAUGAUGUAAUACACCGUCCCUUCUCCCCAUUAGCCUUGGAAGCUGACCUUAAAGCUCUGAUAUCAUGUGUGUGUUGAUGUGGUUUGAAAACACACACGCCUGGUGUCUCUAACCUUUGUCUUGUCACUUGUUCGCCCCCAUAUGACUCUUUUUACAGAUUGUCAGACGCUUGUUCACCACACAUCGCCACUCACCCUUUAACUAAAAAAAGAGGGAUUGUGGGGAAUCUUUUAUGUCAGGUAACGUCCUCACGCACACGCAUUGCAUACAUCUUGUGUGUGUGUGUGUGUGUGUGUGUGUGUGUGUGUGUGUGUGUGUGUGUGUCUCAUAAUCUUCAGCAUUGUGACCCUUGUUUGUAUAUAUUUUCACAAAGAGGGGUCCCUUUGUUUCUGGGUGUGUGAGGAUAAACCUAUGUACUGUCUUAGUAUCUAAAAUAGCUUUAAACCCUUGCGCAUAUGCAAAGAACCAAUACGAGUGGGGCUUGUAUAGAUAAUUCAAAGUACUGCUUGUGGAUCAUAAACACAUUAGGCUUUAUGAUGCGAAAAAGCAGGGUUGAUGUACGGAGAUCCUGCAAGAUGAAUCAAAGUGUUUGCUUUUUUCUAACUAUACCGAGUACGAAUAAAUCCCCAAUUAUAUUCUUGAUACGACCGCGUUCAGGUUAGGAUCUUGCAGGAUCGCUCUGCAGUAUUCCUCUCAGGGACAUAGGGAGGGAGCUUGUUUCUAUUGCAGAAAACGUAAGGCGCCAACCCUGCUUAAGAGCACAUCCAUAGGUAACAGGCACGCAGUGUAGAGACGGACACAGCUAUUCCACCAUACAGAGUGAAAGGCUAAGGGGAAGAGAAGUUCCUCUGGAGGUCCAUGUUCACUCACUCUUUUCUAAUUUAGUUAUUCAUUUUAAUGAACUUUUAAGAGUGACAUAUUGGGUUUCUUUUUCUUUUGCGUAAAUAUUUCUUGAAAGCGGAGGGAUGAAAACUUUCCGAGGAGCUCCGGGAGCAGGGAGCUAGAGAAGGAGGCUAGUGAAGAAAGCUAGCAUAAGAAACUAAACAUGCUAGCACAGAUAACCAGGAAUCUGGUCUUGAUCAUGGUCAUUGAGUUAGCCUUGAAUCAACUAAUUACUUUCCAAGGGACAUAGAGUCCAAAUGUUAUCCCUAAAUGCUAGUAUAUGCUCUGUGGAACCACUGAGCGGUAGUUAGACCCAACAACCCAGGAUGUACUCAGAUUAUAACCUGUUAUGGAUAUAGUUUCAUACAGUUUGAAUUCAACGUCUAGCUUAUCUGUCGCCAUAACGACCUGCCACUUUAAUAUUUAAAUAAGCUCCUCCUACCUCUGUGCUAACAUGCUCCGCCCACUCGUCAAUAUGUUUUGCUGAGUUGUCGUUCUGGUACAUCGUCAGAUCUCUGAUUGAUGUCAAAUGCAUGUGAAAUACACAACUCAUUCGUUGUUGUUAUUGUUAUGAUUAUUAACCAGCACGUCACACUGGGUGAUGCCUUUCUCCUUUGCUUUGGUUGCGGGGUGAUGUUUCAACUGCCCCGGAAGUGAAUGAACGUUGUACUAGCGAGUCACUGGCUUCUUAGCGGCUUCUGCUUGGUGAUCUCGCUUGUAGUCGGCCCCACAUUUUAUGCAUCCGAUAUUAAGCUUUAUUUUAACACUGGCUCAGGGUGACUAACUCGGAUCAUGCUUUCUGUUUGCCAUGACUAACGACAAGUCACUGUGUCUUCUUUCUCGAAAGAGUUAUUGCAGUAGUUCUGCCCGGAUGAGGAGGUACCGACACAAGGUCGAUUCUCACUGCUGAAUCGGUUCGCCGAAGGUUAGCACAGCAUAGAUCAUUUGGACUUGAGGAUAUCAAGGCAACACCAGCCGAAAACCAAACGAUGAAAACAGUCAAAAAGCUAGAUUUCUAAUUGUAUUCCCCCCAUUGCUGUCUCAUUUAAGCUAUGCAAUAUGACAUGGAUGGGAAUCAAGCUAAACUUCACUUCUUUAAUUGCUGCUGCAAGAAGCCAGGAUUUCUAAGUACAAGGCUAACACUUUCCGUGGGAAAUGUAUGAGUGACUUCAAUGUUAUAAUUACCCCUCAAUUUAAAGGCAAAGGAAAACAGGUUGUUUCUCAAUGUAAUGACAACUAUUUUUUCUACUUUAAUGUUGGAUUUUAGUUUUUAUUAUUUGUAUUAUUCAGUGCACUUUCAUUAUAUAGGAAAAUGUCAUACUAUUAUUAACCAGAGAAAUUCGUAGUGGAGUGGUUUGAGUUUUUUCCCAUAUCUACACAUAGUAGGCUAUAUAUAGGAUCAUAGGCCUAUGUGACUUCUACGUUGUGAUGAGCAAACGCCUCUUGCAUAUGGGAAGGCGCCACAAACCACAACCUACUAAUUGACUUUGUCUGUGAGAAUUGUAACCAUCUAAAACGUUUAUUUUUUCCUUGGUUAUAUAUUUACACUGUCCGUUAGCCUUUCUGUUUGUUCUACUAUGAUCUCUGAUAGAAAAAGUCCAGGGUGAUCAAAUUCUGGGGUUUUUCGUGUAUUUAUUAUUCCUAGGAAUAGUUCGAAAAAUUGCGCUGAAACUUGACAACGCUCUUGAUUCAAAAGAAGGUGAGUUGUGUUUAAGGAAAAAAAAACUGUGUGACAAAAACACGCUUUUUUCCCAGCUUCUUACCGAAGGGCGUUCCACUGAACGUGGAUCACUGACCAACAGAAUUCCCUACAAGUGCAUCGAUUAAAAUUCCAAAUUGGAAUUGUUCCAUUCUCCCUUUGCUUAUCGUGCCAAAUCAUGGUACACCGUUUAGGUUGAACAGAAUCAAGAAUAUGAAAAGGGACAUUUUUUGUCAUUGGGAAAGGCUUAGUUUGGACCACGGCUCUCGCGAGGGACGUGAUACGGUUUUCUGAUUUGUUUAGUUUCUUGUUUCCAACCAGUAGUGCCUUUCAUUGUUUCAAGGGAGAAUCUUAGACUAGGAUUUUAUGUUUAUUUUUAAAGGGUUGGGUUCAAAGUAACUGUGAGCAGCAAUAAAUGCGAAGGGUCGACCCCUAUCUGCAAGAACGAAAAACAGUUUAAAUUGGCUCGAUAAAAAUAAAUUAAUUGUAGGGAAUCAUGUGGGUCAGUCGUCCAUACAAUACAUUCAGGGGUAUAUUGAGAAAAAAAAUAGUUAUGUUUUAUUUUGAUUGGUUUUCUCACACUUUGGGAACCCAAAUAAAUCCCAAUGAACAACACCCUCCAUGCAUCUGAUAUGUAUGUGUUUGGCUAUUGGAAACAUCUCUAACUCUAGCUAUGUAUGGUGAAGGUAAUGUGAUAUCAAUAGUAUUGUGGAGGAAAAUGUGAGAGCGCAUUUUUUCAUUCCGUCGUUUAUUAUGGUGGUAUUUUUUUAUUAUUAUUGAUCUUUUUUAUAUCAUCUUUAAGCAUUAAUGUUUUCAGGAAACAGAAAACUAAAUUAGCAUCAACAAGCUUGAACUGUGCCAUUAUAGCCAAAGCUCGCUUGUUGAGGCGUUAAAAGUUGAAAUA